rnacentral:lncRNA from 1 species
GGCUCUCCUCCUUGACGCUCAAGUAGCAAAAGACGACGCUACCAUUGAGCAAAAAGACACUCGAGUUGUUUAGGAUCACCCUUAAGAUCCGGUUUGAGAGCAUGUCGGAAACAUCACUCCGGUCUUUCAUCAAAUCAACGAAUAUCCUAAAAAAAAUACCUAUAGUACCAAUGCUCACACACGUCGCCGCCAAAACAAGCAUCAUGUCAUCAAAAUACUUGAUGUUUGAGGAUGUAUAACGAACAUACACUAGAAUAAGAAAGAUAUGGUUGAGUUCUGUGCCCCAUGAUAAGCAAUAACUUUGCCUCAAUAAGAGCCAUAUAAGGUAAGCAACCAAAAGUUGAGCAUCCAUAAAAGUAGGUACUUUUCUCUGCCAAAGAUUAACCAAAGGGCCAAGGUGAUGCUAUAAACCCCGGAGACACCAAAUGCGACAAGGAAAUCUUGAUAAUCUUUGACGCCCGGGCAUGGUUCGACAUUAUCCAUUCUAAGGAUUUUGAUCUCAAAUUUCUUGAGA